rnacentral:rRNA from 1 species
AAAAUUUCAAAAUGGAUUGGUGCCUUCGGGAACUGUGAGACAGGUGCUGCAUGGCUGUCGUCAGCUCGUGUUGUGAAAUGUUGGGUUAAGUCCCGCAACGAGCGCAACCCUUAUCCUUUGUUGCCAGCGGUUAGGCCGGGAACUCAAAGGAGACUGCCAGUGAUAAACUGGAGGAAGGUGGGGAUGACGUCAAGUCAUCAUGGCCCUUACGACCAGGGCUACACACGUGCUACAAUGGCGCAUACAAAGAGAAGCGACCUCGCGAGAGCAAGCGGACCUCAUAAAGUGCGUCGUAGUCCGGAUUGGAGUCUGCAACUCGACUCCAUGAAGUCGGAAUCGCUAGUAAUCGUGGAUCAGAAUGCCACGGUGAAUACGUUCCCG